GACGAACGUUGGCGGCGUGCUUAAUACAUGCAAGUCAACUGAAGCAGUGGUAGCAAUAUCGCUGUGGAGGUGGCGCACGGGUGAGUAACACGUAGGUAAUCUGCCUUCAGGUCUGGCAUAACUCCGGGAAACCGGGGCUAAUAGCAGAUGAUGCAGCGGCUCGACAUCGAGACAGUUGUUAAAGCUAUGGCGCCUGAAGAUGAGCCUGCGUCUGAUUAGCUAGUUGGCGGGGUAACGGCCCACCAAGGCAACGAUCAGUAGCUGGUCUGAGAGGAUGAUCAGCCACACUGGAACUGAGACACGGUCCAGGCUCCGACGGGAGGCAGCAGUAAGGAAUAUUGCUCAAUGGGAGAAAUCCUGAAGCAGCAACGCCGCGUGAGGGACGAAGGGCGUUUGCUUGUAAACCUCUGUAGUGAGAGAAAAAAAUCCCAAUCUUUGGGACAUGAUGGUAUCUCAAAAGUAAGCCCCGGCUAACUACGUG
rnacentral:rRNA from 1 species